UACGUAGGGUGCAAGCGUUGUCCGGAAUUACUGGGCGUAAAGCGUGCGCAGGCGGUUCUCCAAGUCCGUUGUGAAAGCCCCGGGCUCAACCUGGGAAUGGCAGUGGAAACUAGGGGACUGGAAUCUGGCAGAGGGGGAUGGAAUUCCGCGUGUAGCAGUGAAAUGCGUAGAUAUGCGGAGGAACACCGAUGGCGAAGGCAAUCCCCUGGGCCUGCACUGACGCUCAUGCACGAAAGCGUGGGGAGCAAACAGG
rnacentral:rRNA from 1 species